rnacentral:rRNA from 1 species
UACAGAGGUGGCAAGCGUUGUUCGGAAUUACUGGGCGUAAAGGGCGCGUGGGCGGUUCGUUAAGUCCUGUGUGAAAUCCCCCGGCUCAACUGGGGAACUGCACAGGAAACUAGCGGGCUUGAGUUCGGGAGAGGGAAGCGGAAUUCCGGGUGUAGCGGUGAAAUGCGUAGAUAUCCGGAGGAACACCGGUGGCGAAGGCGGCUUCCUGGACCGACACUGACGCUGAGGCGCGAAAGCUAGGGGAGCAAACGGG